GGGUUGGUAGCUCAGUUGGUAGAGCACCGGACUUUUAAUCCGUUGGUCCCGGGUUCGAGCCCCGGCCAGCCCACCA
rnacentral:tRNA from 2 species